CUGCCCUCAUAGCAGAGGCUCUGAAAAAGAAAUUUGCUUAUCGGUAUCGAAGUGAUAGCCAAGAUGAAGUUGAAAAAGGAAUUCCAAAGUCUGAAUCAGAGGCCACCUCAGAGAGAGUGUUGUCCCUUCCAGCUGGCUUUAUUCAGCCCCACAUGUCCAAGCAUUGUCUGGGAUAGCCUUGUAUUGGAAAACCUGGCCCAUUCUGUAAAUAAAGGCUCCACUAGACUCUCAUUGCAGCAAAAGACCAUGUGGACCACAGACAACAUAGGUUCCAUUUAUCCAACAUAAGAAUCUCACCAGAAUUAAAGCAACCAGCAUCCACUACUUUUAAUCAGGAAAGUUAUAUAUGGCCUGAUGGCUGAAUUUUUUAAGUGUAUAUAAUUAUGGUAUCUGAAAUAUUAAUUAUGUACAAUAUGU
rnacentral:sRNA from 1 species